rnacentral:rRNA from 1 species
UACGUAGGGGGCAAGCGUUGUCCGGAAUCAUUGGGCGUAAAGCGCGCGUAGGCGGCCCGGUAAGUCCGCUCUGAAAGUCCAGGGCUCAACCCUGGAAAGCGGGUGGAUACUGCCGGGCUAGAAUCCGGAAGAGGCGAGUGGAAUUCCUGGUGUAGCGGUGGAAUGCGCAGAUAUCAGGAGGAACACCGGUGGCGAAGGCGGUGUCCUGGGCCGAUCCUGACGCUGAGGAGCGAAAGCUGGGGGAGCAAACAGG